rnacentral:rRNA from 1 species
CACGUAGGGGCCAAGCGUUGUCCGGAUUCAUUGGGCGUAAAGAGCUCGUAGGCGGUUCAGUUAGUCGGGUGUGAAAUCUCCGGGCUCAACCCGGAGGGGCCACCCGAUACUGCUGUGACUUGAGUCCGGUAGGGGAGUGGGGAAUUCCUGGUGGAGCGGUGAAAUGCGCAGAGAUCAGGAGGAACACCCGUAGCGAAGGCGGCACUCUGGGCCGAUACUGACACUGAGGAGCGAAAGCGUGGGGAGCGAACAGG